GGGGGGUCAUUUCUCUCAAUGGAGGUUGAUAGACUAUCAUUUUCCUCGACACGAUAGGCAAUCAAAGAUAUCAUUUUGAGCUUUUGAAAACUAUAGAUAAGAUCAAAACUGCUACACAUAAUUAUACUCCAAGCAGUUAAGCUUCUAAAAGUUUUUCGUAUCAUUUAAAGGAUGACGUAGCAGCAGAAAUGAGAAGACUGAAGCUGGAGCUCAAGUGAACACUGGAAAUGUACAGUACAACAUGCAAGGAAGCACUCACAGCACAACAAAAGGCGACAGAAUUCCAGCGUUGGAAAGCAGAAGAA